rnacentral:rRNA from 1 species
UCCAGACUCCUACGGGAGGCAGCAGUGGGGAAUACUGGUCAAUGGGUGAGAGUCUGAACCAGCCAAGUAGCGUGAAGGAUGACUGCCCUAUGGGUUGUAAACUUCUUUUAUAUGGGAAUAAAACGUUCCACGUGUGGGAUUUUGUAUGUACCAUAUGAAUAAGGAUCGGCUAACUCCGUGCCAGCAGCCGCGGUAAUACGGAGGAUCCGAGCGUUAUCCGGAUUUAUUGGGUUUAAAGGGAGCGUAGGUGGAUUGUUAAGUCAGUUGUGAAAGUUUGCGGCUCAACCGUAAAAUUGCAGUUGAAACUGGCAGUCUUGAGUACAGUAGAGGUGGGCGGAAUUCGUGGUGUAGCGGUGAAAUGCUUAGAUAUCACGAAGAACUCCGAUUGCGAAGGCAGCCUACUAAACUGCCACUGACAUUGAUGCUCGAAAGUGUGGGUAUCAAACAGGAUUAGAUACCCUUGUA